AUUGAACGCCGGCGGCAGGCCUAACACAUGCAAGUCGAGCGGCAGCGGGAAAGUAGCUUGCUACUUUUGCCGGCGAGCGGCGGACGGGUGAGUAAUGCCUGGGGAUCUGCCCAGUCGAGGGGGAUAACUACUGGAAACGGUAGCUAAUACCGCAUACGCCCUACGGGGGAAAGCAGGGGACCUUCGGGCCUUGCGCGAUUGGAUGAACCCAGGUGGGAUUAGCUAGUUGGUGAGGUAAUGGCUCACCAAGGCGACGAUCCCUAGCUGGUCUGGGAGGAUGAUCAGCCACACUGGAACUGAGACACGGUCCAGACUCCUACGGGAGGCAGCAGUGGGGAAUAUUGCACAAUGGGGGAAACCCUGAUGCAGCCAUGCCGCGUGUGUGAAGAAGGCCUUCGGGUUGUAAAGCACUUUCAGCGAGGAGGAAAAGUUGGUAGCUAAUAACUGCCAGCUGUGACGUUACUCGCAGAAGAAGCACCGGCUAACUCCGUGCCAGCCGCCGCGGUAA
rnacentral:rRNA from 1 species